UAAACUAACUUAGAUCACAUGGAUUUGAUCUCAUGUUGACAGAAACAAGCUAAUAUACAAAUUUCAAUGGCUAUAGUACCACUUUUCCAUAAACUUUUGAUCAGUGAAUUUUAUUGGAUUUCAUUCAAUUAAUUACUCUAAUAUUUUUUCAAUCAAAUGCCAAAUUGGUUGAAACUCGAUAUCCUAGAAAAACCCCAUGGAAUACCGCAAAUUAAUCCUUAAUUUGGAAAAAACCCACCGAAAAUCUCACUUCCACUUACCCUUUUGAGCCCUAGCUCUCUGGCGAUUUUGGCGACCACCACAUCCGGUGCUUCCUUCUCCUCCGCGGUGCUUCGUUCCUCAGGCAAACCAUUUGUGAUUUGAUUUUCUAGUUCUAGAAUUUCGUUCUGAAUUUUGUUUUGAUCUGUUGAAGGGCAGUCUAGCCGAGUCGCGAAUGAGAGCUGCCUCUAAAAGAAAGGGUUAUCGAAAUCACAUCGUUAUCAAGGCAGAUAAGGCCAUCUGAGCAUCGAAAAAAAUGUGUUAGUGCUAUUGUUCCUGUUCAUCUACAGCUUUUAUCGAGAAUCAUAAGCCUGGAGUUCUAAUGCAAGAACUAUGGUAUCAUUUGGCCCAGGUAGGCUGAGAUGGGAUCAUGUAAAAUCGACUUCAAACAUUGAUCAAGAUAAGAUAUGAUUAUGUUUCUAAAUGCAAGAUAUAUAUAUUUUUUUAUAGUUAUUUAAAUAAGCUAUAAAACGUAAAAUGGCAAUUAUAAAAAAUAUUUGAUAAGAAGUAAUUGAUAGCUUUUCUUAAGAUAUGAUUAUGUUUCCAAAUGCAAGAUAUUCUAGCUUAUGCUCAUAGUUGUUUAUAUUGAAAUUUACUAAUGUUAAAUGUUAAUUUUUAUUUACAAACCUUCUCCUUUUUGUAGGUAUUUUUGUUUACUCUAAAAAUAUUGAUUUAUUGAAUCAAUGGCAUACAAACAUUCAUAUAUUGGUGACAAGUUUUUUGGCAGGUGGGGUGAAGACAUGUGAGUUGAAAUUAAUUGGUAUAAAGUUGGAGGAUCAGAAAGUUGAGGGUUAUUAAAUGUUAACUAGACAUGUACAUGUAUUGUUAUGUUUGUUAAUUUGUAAGUCUAUGUUGUCCCUUCAUCUUAUGAAAUUCAUGUUGGUUUUGGUUGACAUUU